UACGUAGGUGGCAAGCGUUGUCCGGAAUUAUUGGGCGUAAAGAGCGCGCAGGCGGUCGGAUCAGUCGAAUGUGAAAGCCCCCGGCUCAACUGGGGAGGGUCAUUCGAUACUGUCCGACUCGAAGGCAGGAGAGGGAAGCGGAAUUCCCGGUGUAGUGGUGAAAUUCGUAGAUAUUCGCAAGAACACCAGUGGCGAAGGCGGCUUACUGGUCCGGUUCUGACGCUGAGGCGCGAAAGCGUGGGGAGCAAACAGG
rnacentral:rRNA from 1 species